rnacentral:rRNA from 1 species
GUUUCCUACGGGAGGCAGCAGUAGGGAAUCUUCCGCAAUGGGCGAAAGCCUGAUGGAGCAACGCCGCGUGGGUGAAGAAGGUCUUCGGAUCGUAAAACCCUAUUGUUAGAGAAGAAAGUGCGUGAGAGUAACUGUUCACGUUUCGACGGUAUCUAACCAGAAAGCCACGGCUAACUACGUGCCAGCAGCCGCGGUAAUGCGUAGGUGGCAAGCGUUAUCCGGAUUUAUUGGGCGCAAAGGGAACGCAGGCGGUCUUU